AGUGGGAUAGCGGGUCAAAUGGUUCCAUUCCAAAUUUUCUGAGGAUUCUCCAUACUGCUUUCCAAAGUGGUUGUACCAAUUUGCAGUCCCACCAGCAAU
rnacentral:pre_miRNA from 1 species